GACGAACGCUGGCGGCGUGCCUAAUACAUGCAAGUAGAACGCACAGUUUAUACCGUAGCUUGCUACACCAUAGACUGUGAGUUGCGAACGGGUGAGUAACGCGUAGGUAACCUGCCUGGUAGCGGGGGAUAACUAUUGGAAACGAUAGCUAAUACCGCAUAAUAUUAAUUAUUGCAUGAUAAUUAAUUGAAAGGUGCAAUUGCACCACUACCAGAUGGACCUGCGUUGUAUUAGCUAGUAGGUGAGGUAACGGCUCACCUAGGCGACGAUACAUAGCCGACCUGAGAGGGUGAUCGGCCACACUGGGACUGAGACACGGCCCAGACUCCUACGGGAGGCAGCAGUAGGGAAUCUUCGGCAAUGGACGAAAGUCUGACCGAGCAACGCCGCGUGGGUGAAGAAGGUUUUCGGAUCGUAAAGAUCUGUUGUAAGAGAAGAACGGGUGUGAGAGUGGAAAGUUCACACUGUGACGGUAUCUUACCAGAAAGGGACGGCUAACUACGUG
rnacentral:rRNA from 1 species